rnacentral:rRNA from 1 species
UACAGAGGUCUCAAGCGUUGUUCGGAUUCAUUGGGCGUAAAGGGUGUGUAGGCGGCGCGGUAAGUCGGGUGUGAAAUUUCGGAGCUUAACUCCGAAACUGCAUUCGAUACUGCGGUGCUUGAGGACUGGAGAGGAGACUGGAAUUCAUGGUGUAGCAGUGAAAUGCGUAGAGAUCAUGAGGAAGACCAGUGGCGAAGGCGGAUCUCUGGACAGUUCCUGACACUGAGACACGAAGGCCAGGGGAGCAAACGGG